GACGAACGCUGGCGGCGUGCUUAACACAUGCAAGUCGAACGAAGAGCGAUGGAAGCUUGCUUCUAUCAAUCUUAGUGGCGAACGGGUGAGUAACGCGUAAUCAACCUGCCCUUCAGAGGGGGACAACAGUUGGAAACGACUGCUAAUACCGCAUACGAUCUAAUCUCGGCAUCGAGGAUAGAUGAAAGGUGGCCUCUACAUGUAAGCUAUCACUGAAGGAGGGGAUUGCGUCUGAUUAGCUAGUUGGAGGGGUAACGGCCCACCAAGGCGAUGAUCAGUAGCCGGUCUGAGAGGAUGAACGGCCACAUUGGGACUGAGAAACGGCCCAGACUCCUACGGGAGGCAGCAGUGGGGAAUCUUCCGCAAUGGACGAAAGUCUGACGGAGCAACGCCGCGUGAGCGAUGACGGCCUUCGGGUUGUAAAGCUCUGUUAAUCGGGACGAAAGGCCUUCUUGCGAAUAGUGAGAAGGAUUGACGGUACCGGAAUAGAAAGCCACGGCUAACUACGUG
rnacentral:rRNA from 1 species